UUGUUGGGUGAAAUGAAACAAACUUGUUAUCGACAGAAGAAAUCAAUACAGAUAGAGACAAUGGAAUAAGCCGAACGAACCAUGUUUAGGACAGAUGAGACAAAUCGUCAAGGGGAAGACUUUCAGACUUACCAGCUACCCGAUAAAACUGUAAAAACUUGGGCCCACUGGGUAUUCUACUCUACGAAAGUACACGAUGUCUUUUCCAUAGCCUACUGAAGUUUUUGUUGGACGAAACAAAGUUCAUUAGGAGAAAAAAUUCGAAAUUAAUUGGAACAAGCUGAAUGAAUCUCUCUCGUCUGAGCAAAUUUUCAGAUCGAAGAAAUUAAUAAGAUGAACUGAAGGAAAAUUUAGGAUAGGGAAAUCCCGGCAAGCGUACCUGAACAGAUGAGUCCUUCAGGAUGAAGAAUGUUUUGAUUAAAUGGUUCAUGUUGGAGUAUUUCAACAAAACUAGAAUGAGAUGCUCAUCUUCUCUUGGUUUAAUUGAAAAUUAUUUCUUGAGUUAGACAAAGGUAUGG